ACAGUGGACGCGAGCAUCUUUGUUAGUAAGUGUGUAAGAGCGUACGGUGGAUGCCUUGGCACCAGGAGCCGAUGAAGGACGUAGUAGGCUGCGAUAAGCCUCGGGGA
rnacentral:rRNA from 1 species